AAAUUAGUUGGAAAAUUCGAGUAAAAAGGAAAGGAUGGAAAAGCUGCAUCAGAGAACUUAAAAACAGAAGAGAUAAAAUCCAAUUCAAAUCCCUGAUGAUGACUAUCGAAGAUAGUCGAAAUAUCGGAAAAAUAAAUUAAAAU